CGCGGUAAUACAGAGGGUGCAAGCGUUAAUCGGAAUUACUGGGCGUAAAGCGCGCGUAGGUGGUUCGUUAAGUUGGAUGUGAAAUCCCCGGGCUCAACCUGGGAACUGCAUCCAAAACUGGCGAGCUAGAGUAUGGUAGAGGGUGGUGGAAUUUCCUGUGUAGCGGUGAAAUGCGUAGAUAUAGGAAGGAACACCAGUGGCGAAGGCGACCACCUGGACUGAUACUGACACUGAGGUGCGAAAGCGUGGGGAGCAAACAGGAUUA
rnacentral:rRNA from 2 species